ACACGUAUGAAAGACAAGCUGAAAGACUUUUCUCAAUGAUGUAAGUGGUGGUGCAUGGUCGUUCGUAGUUCGUGGAUUGAUUUGUCUGGUCUAUUCCGAUAACGAGCGAGACCCCGGCGUUCCUAAUAGGGGCGACAGCCCGGCUUGCUUCGGCUUGCUAGCAGUCGCUUAAGAUUUACUUCUUAGACGUAUCAGAGCCGAUAAGGUUCUUGAAAUGGGUUAAUAACAGGUCAGUCAUGCCCUUAGAUGUUCUGGGCCGCACGCGCGUUACAAUGGCAUGUAUAGAAAGUGCCUCAAAGGGCGUAUCCGGGGCCUAACGGUCCCGGUAACCCCUAAUCCCUGCCUUGACUGGGAUAGACUAUUGCAAUUAUUGGUCUUCAACGAGGAAUUUUUAGUAGUCGCAGGUCAUUAACCUGCGACGA
rnacentral:rRNA from 1 species